rnacentral:rRNA from 1 species
AUUGAACGCUGGAGGCAGGCCUAACACAUGCAAGUCGAACGAGUGGCGGACGGGUGAGUAAUGUAUGGGAAACUGCCUGAUGGAGGGGGAUAACUACUGGAAACGGUAGCUAAUACAGCAUCCCCUAGGAUGUGCCCAGAUGGGAUUAGCUAAUAGGUGGGGAAAAGGAUCACCAAGGCGACGAUCACUAGCUGGUCUGAGAGGAUGACAAGCCACACUGGAACUGAGACACGGUCCAGACUCCGACGGGAGGCAGCAGUGGGGAAUAUUGCGCAAUGGGCGCAAGCCUGAUGCAGCCAUGCCGCGUGUAUGAAGAAGGCCUUCGGGUUGUAAAGUACUUUCAGCGGGGAGGCGUUACCCGCAGAAGAAGCACCGGCUAACUCCGUGCCAGCCGCCGCGGUAAUAC